CUUCCCCGGCGCCCUCCUCCCCUCCCCCCUUCCUCCUGCCGGCGCGGCCCCGGCCGAGCGGUCUCUCCUCAGCCCGGAGACUCCUUAGCCGCCUUUCCAGGGCCGCACUGACACCAUCUGUCAGCUGCGUUUAGACACUGCGGCCCUCUGCCACACGCCGGGGUGCCAGACGCCCAAAGCACAAAGGGUGCUGAAGUUGGUGCAUGAAUAUCGAGGUUUCAGCUGGUGACAGACUGCAUGGGUGGCAGCGAUGGGCCCCUGGGAACCGUAGCAGCUGGGAGGUGCCUAUCACCGACAUCACGGCUGUCCUGGUUCCACAGUGCAGUUAUGUGCCACAGUGCAGAGGGUACUCCACUACUUGCAAAACCCAAACCGUGAAGCGGUGCUGUGGGACGCCGGCGGCUGCCUGGUCCACCUCGUGGUCACCACAUCGCUUAUCUGCCCCGGGAGGACAUGCCGAGGGCUGGACCUGCACCAUCCAGCCAAAGACUACCUGUGGAGAGUGUGUUCAGCUCAAUGGUUAAGACGCCGGUUAACAGCGGCAUCCCGUGUUGGAGUGCAGGGUUCAAUCCCCAGCUCCGCUUCUGGAUUCCGUCUUCCUACUGAUGAACACGCUGGGAGGCAGCAGUGGGUGGCUCACGUGGCUGGGCCCCUCCUUCGCCGUGGGAGACCGAGCUGCCAGCUCCUGGUUCCACCCUGGCCAUUGUAUGUGCUGAGUGAACCAGUGGAUGGGAACGCUCUCUGUGUCCUGAGUAAACACAUAGUUUAAAACCUGUGUAUUUGAGCUGUACUCCUCAGUGCUUUGAUGUAAGUAUACAUUGCGAAAUAUCACAACCAAACCAGCAUCACCCUCACUUCCCAUAGUUACCUUUUGGUAUGUGGUAAGAAUACUUAAGACCUACCCCCUUAGCAAAAUUUUAAAAAAGAUUUUAUUUAUUUAUUUGAGAAGUAGAAUUACAGAUAGAGAGAGGGAGAGGGAGAGAGAAAGGUCUUCCAUCCGCUGGUUCACUCCCAGAUGGCCACUAUGGCCGGAUCUGAGCAAAUCUGGAGCCUGGAAUUAGGAGCUUCCUCUGGGUCUCCCACGUGGGUUCAGGGGUCCAAGGACUUGCGCCAUCUUCCGCUGCUUUCUCAGGCACCUUAGCAGGGAGCUGGAUUGAAAGUGGAGCAGCCGGACUCCAGCAGGCACCCAUCUGGGAUGCCGGUGCUGCAGGCAGCAGCUUAAUCCAUUACGCCACAGCUGACCCCACCUCUGUAUCUCUUGGUCAAGCAUUUCCCGCUCCCCAGGACCCUGGGAUCCACCAUUCUACUCUCCACUUCUGCAAGUCGCACAUUUUUACAAUUUGCAAACUAUCAUUUAUAGGUAGAAUCUAAAAAAAAAAAAAAUCCAACAAAUAGAUCACGCUCCAUUUAGGGGAAGGUAAAUUUUUAUCUUGUGAUCAUAGCUAUGAAAAGUAUCACUAGUGUGUACACACAUUUUUCAGAAGACUUAUUCAUUUAUGUGAAAGGCAGACUUACAGAGAGCGAGAGUGAGCGUGAGCGAGAAUGAGAGAGAGCGAGAGAGAGAGGUCUUCCUUCUGUUGGUUCAUUCCCCAGAUACCUGAAUAUCCAGGGCUGGGCCAGCUUGAAGCCAGGACCUUGAAACUCCAUCUGGAUUUUCCAUGUGGGUGCAGGGGCCCAAGCACUUGGACCAUCUUCUGCUGCUCUCCUAGGGUUAUUAGCAGAGAGCUGGAUUGGAAGUGGAGCAGCCCGGACUUGAACCUGUGUCCAUAUGGAAUGCCAGCAUUGCUGGUAGUGGCUGAAGCCCCCGUAUCACAGUGCCAGCCCCUGUAAACCACAUUUGAACCCUACUCUGCACUGCUCUGAAAGAACACCUGGACUGCAGCACCUGUGUGUGCACCGCACAUGGAGGUGCACACCUGCGCAGUGGGCCCCGGCCUCAGUCACCUCUCCUGGCUGCUGACUGACCACUGGAAGAAUCGGCACAACCAGGCGAGAACCCCCGUGACGCUUGCCCUCCCGGAGCCCUAGCACAGUGAGAACGGCAGCUCAGCUCCACACCCCCUCGGGGCAGGGCGGCCGUGGCCACCGUGGGCACCCAGCGACAAGACAACCACGAGGUCAUAGCUCUUCUGCAACCCCGCGCGUUGUAAACGUCCCCCGUGAACACUCACGCGUCUGUAACAAAGUGCUCGUGUAGCCACGGAAGGACUCGGUGAGACACAGGAGUUGUAACUGUGGAGCAGUGAGGACCCAGAAGAAGGAGAACAAAUCCAGCGCAUGAAACUCCACCCCUCGAGACAGCCGGGGAUAAGCCAGCAGCCUUCAGCACAGUGGUCAGCCAUGGCUGCAGCCCUCAGAAGGGACCCGCUGGGAGCACCCACAGCACCCACAAGCGGAAGUGCUACUGCAGGGAGAGAAAAUCCCCCCGGCUCUGGGAUCUGCCGUGAACUCUCGGAUUCGCCUCCUUCUCCAUUCUCCGGGCCUCCCUCCGGGCCGCCAGUCUGGCUCUGCUGUGAUCAUGCUACAGAUGAGGAGAGAGGGGUCGAGACUGCAAGGACACAGAGUGAGGUCGCACAGCAUUGAACUCUCAUCCCACACUGUUUGACUCCACACUCUGAGCUCCUCCCACGGUGUCAUUCCGUCCCUUCGGGCAGACAGGUGCAGCCGCAGUGAGAGACCGGAACUUCGCAGGCGGAGUUGAAGUGUCCAGAAGCACAAGGAAUCAAGAUCUAUCGCACGCUGUUUCCCAGCCGCUCCUUCCCCAGGGCUGCAAUCUGCCUGUUACCAUGGAAGCCACACCUCUAACUCAGAUCUAGUUAGAGAUCUAGUUAGAUCUAGUUAGCCAACUCUCUAACUCAGAGUGUCCGUGCCGGCCUCUCCGGUAUUUCAGCCAUCCCACUGCUGUCUCUGCGGCGUUCUGGGCACAGCAAGGCGCCUCUCCUGGCCUGGCCUGGCCACCUUUGGUUCAGCUGAAGUGGGGCUCAGGGGAGCAGAGGGAAGAGUCUGGACAGGGCUCUCAGACAGCACUGGGGGUGGGGGUGGUGAGGGGUGCUGCGCAUGCCUGGGCUUCCUGUUAGGGCCCCCAUGCUGUGACCAUGGCUGCCCCCCUCAUCCCACCUCAUGACCGCUUUCCACUGCUUUCUUCUGCUUAGUUCCAGAAACACUCAAGGAAGUGAAACUGCAGUAAAAUAGGUGGCAAAGGAGGACACCAUGUUGAGGAAAACAAAGACAAAUACCGCGCGUGAGACCAGGGUAGAUCAGAGCCAGACACGGAUCUGAACACUGAACGUUGACAACUGGAGGCUGGGGCAUGGGACGCAUAGAGCAAGUUUGGGGGCAAACAUAAUGAAAGUCGGGUCUGGUUCAUUAGUUCUGCCAAAGGUACUGAUAUAAGGCGUUAAUGGGGGAAGAGGGAGGGGUUUGCGGGAACGGUUUGCAUCACCACCUCAACAGUUCUCAUUUGGCAAAUUUAAUACUGUCUGGGGGCCAGUGCUGUGAUGUAGCCCGUAAAGCCUCGGUCUGUGAUGCCACCAGCACCCCAUACAGGUGCCAGCUCGUGUUCUGGCUGCUCCACUUCUGAUCCAGCUCCCUGCUAAGGUGGCCCAGGUGCUGGGGCCCCUGCACCCACGUGGGAGACCUGGUUGGAGCUCCUGGCUCCUGGCUGCAGCCCAGCCCCAGCCAUUGUGGUCAUUUGGGGAGUGAACCAGUGGAUGGAAGACCUCUUUUUCUGUGUGUGUUUGUCUCUUCCUCUCUCUCUCUCUCUGUAACUCUGCUUUUCAAACAAAUACUUAAAUAAAUAAUCUUUAAAAAAAACUUCUCUGAAAUAAAAUGUUAAAAAGAA